GAUGAACGCUGGCGGCGUGCCUAACACAUGCAAGUCGAGCGAAGCACUUUGCUUUGAUUCUUUCGGGAGGAAAAGUAAUUUGACUGAGCGGCGGACGGGUGAGUAACGCGUGGGUAACCUGCCUCAUACAGGGGGAUAACAGUUAGAAAUGACUGCUAAUACCGCAUAAGACCACAGUACUGCAUGGUACAGUGGUAAAAACUCCGGUGGUAUGAGAUGGACCCGCGUCUGAUUAGCUAGUUGGUGGGGUAACGGCCCACCAAGGCGACGAUCAGUAGCCGGCCUGAGAGGGUGAACGGCCACAUUGGGACUGAGACACGGCCCAA
rnacentral:rRNA from 1 species